GCGGUAACAUGAAAGCAUUAGGGAUCAUGUGGACGUGGACUCAAGCACGAAAGACUAACGGGUCAAGAUGAGGCAAGCAAGCGGGUAUGAACACGGAUGCACAAGGUGGUACGUGUCACGGAGGAUCAUCAAGGAAUAUAGAUCAAGGAUCGAGUCACUUGAGGGAUUGUACGGGGCUGUCUGAGGAUGUAAUUUAUUGUACAUAAGCUAUCAAUUAUUUUAUUAUUGAGUCAGUUUGUUGUAUUUAAUAUAAAAGAGUUAUUUUAAAAAGUGAACUUUCAAGUAA